rnacentral:rRNA from 1 species
CGCGCAGGCGGCUUGGUAAGUCGGAUGUGAAAUCCCGAGGCUCAACCUCGGGUCUGCAUCCGAUACUGCCCGGCUAGAGGUAGGUAGGGGAGAUCGGAAUUCCUGGUGUAGCGGUGAAAUGCGCAGAUAUCAGGAGGAACACCGGUGGCGAAGGCGGAUCUCUGGGCCUUACCUGACGCUCAGGCGCGAAAGCUAGGGGAGCGAACU